rnacentral:rRNA from 1 species
AUUGAACGCUGGCGGCAUGCCUUACACAUGCAAGUCGAACGGCAGCACGGGAGCAAUCCUGGUGGCGAGUGGCGAACGGGUGAGUAAUAUAUCGGAACGUGCCCAGUCGUGGGGGAUAACGUAGCGAAAGCUACGCUAAUACCGCAUACGAUCUAUGGAUGAAAGCGGGGGAUCGCAAGACCUCGCGCGAUUGGAGCGGCCGAUAUCAGAUUAGGUAGUUGGUGAGGUAAAGGCUCACCAAGCCGACGAUCUGUAGCUGGUCUGAGAGGACGACCAGCCACACUGGGACUGAGACACGGCCCAGACUCCUACGGAGGCAGCAGUGGGGAAUUUUGGGACAAUGGGCGCAAGCCUGAUCCAGCCAUGCCGCGUGUGUGAAGAAGGCCUCGGUGUAAG